CUACAGUGGUAACAAACUCAGCCACCUCUAGACUAAGCUUUGGUUUUUGUGCUCCUCAUAACCUUGUUUAUGCUCCUUCCCAGGCUGAGAACCUGACUCUUGGAUUUACUGCCUCAGAAGACUCUGUGGUUAAAAAGCACUUACAGACUUCGCUUCCUGAAUUAUUGUCUUCGACUGGAUUUCGCUCUGGCUGGCAGCCACCCUGAUUCCUUCGUUUCUCUGCAUCUGGACAUUAAGCGUAUCCUGUCCACCCUCCUACAUAAGCCAUUACAACUUGGAUUACCUCUUGGUUUUUGCUCCAUCUCAGAACAGCACCAGGAGAAGACAUCAAGACGAACACUGCUUAUAUGGACCUCAACCCCUGGCGACCUGACUACAUCAAACUAUUGGAGAUUUACCUGUUCUUGUUCCAGAUUAUUAGUCACUCAAACAUCUUUUACUGAUUUUCGUUCUCUGGAGUGUCCUUCUGUAUGUGGGUCAGAGCUGUUUCGAACACAAUGACACAUACCCUGAUGCACAUCAAAAUUUUUUCUGAAUGUAGAAAGACAAAUCCUAAAUGUCACUGACUGUCCUUGAAACAGCUAGCGUUUAUCCCAUCUCUACUGUCUGCUCUUCCAUCAGUGCUAAUUACUGUAAAUUAAUUUUAAUUGAGGAUACUGAACCUUGCCUGAUGUUGGAGAUUUAGAGUCAAUAGGCAUGUAAUGGCAUGCUGUCUUUGUCUGUCAUUAAUCAAGGUUAUUUAUGAAGGUGCUGCCCAAAGGAUCAGAGGAACAUGUGUCAGUUAAUGUUAAAAACUGUGCCGAGCUGUUUGGAAAGGUCUAGAACUACUAAUUUGCAUUUAAAAACAUCUGCAAGAGAUCAGCGCUAGUGAGAAGGAAAACCUUGCAAAUGAAGAUUUCAGUCAUCAGACCUUUUAAUAUUUUGUUAGUAUUUUUGUACAAAAAGAUAAUGUCAAACCUUAAUUGCUUUUGAGAAAUCUCUAUGGAAAGAAUAUCUUUGCCAUCAGGCCUCACCCCCCUUCACUUUUCCUCAGUAAGUGAACCAACAACAUAUUAAGCAAUCACUCACAGACAUGGAACUGGGCCGACAGCAAUUGCAUUAGCAAUUUUAUUUGAAUUGGUCCUCUUUAAAGUUUAUAUAAAAAAUUUUCCUUCCAAAACAUAAACGUUUAUUGAAGGUCAGUAUUAUCUGCAGGUGAAAUGCAAAGUGCUUUCACAAAUUAUGGGCUGGGUAUUCUGAGUAUGUUCUUUCUAACUCUAGGCUUUUUUUUUUUUUUCUCCAUUUAGCCACACUUUGAUUUUUAAACAAGAUCACAAUGAUCUACCUGUAUAAAAAAGCAGUAUCAUAAUCUACUAUACUUAAGAGUAGGGGUUUGACAAGCUCUCACACCACUAAUAGAAUACAAUAUUUCUCAAAGUUAAGUCUAACUCAUGAACUGCUGUCUGUUUUUAAAUUGCAUCUUUGAUAUUUACAAGGGUUCAUUUUAAACUAUGAUGCUAUUCUUGACUUUAUGAUCGGUUUAAGGGGACUUUUGAUUAAUAGAACGAGAGCCAACAUGCCGCACAGCAAAUCCAGUAAACAACCAGGUGACGAAAUGCCACAGGGAAGCUUAAACAAUGGUUGGCUUUAAAAUAAAAAAUAUUUAUGUUGAAAAUCUGAAUUUAAAUCGACAAUGGAUUAAUUCUUACAGAGACCUUUAUAUUGAGAGACUGUGGUAAUUAUUAAAAUUGUCGGUGUCACUGCUCCCAUGAAAAUUAGGCAAAAAUGAGAAAAGGAUUAAGAGAAAAGUAUGAAAAAAUACAAACACAUUACAGUUAUUGGGUUGUGAUUCUGGAGAUUUGUUGUGUAGGUGUGAUUUCCAGAGUUGGGUGUGGCCCGGUAGGCUACAGUGUUCACAGCUGACUGCAAUCUCCUCAUCAGACUGCCGGGGAAUGAAAGGUCCAAGCCACAUGAAAGAUUCUUUCUGAGAUGCCACGUUCCUCCAGUCACUUCUUCCUAGAAAAAUGAGACAGGCAUCUCUUAGAAGAUGACAAAACAAUGUAAAGGGAGCAUCCAUUUCCAAAAGAGGCGCUGCAACUGUGUAAGGCAGCCAAACUCAAUGUUUACAAAGAAGAGUCCAGCUCUGCAUACCCUACCAUUAAAAUCAAGACCAGAAGAAGAGUGCAGCUGAUGGUGAAACGUAGCAGAGGUGUCGCUUGUGCUCUGUUGGUUUGGGACAGGUGUUUUCCAUCUCCGUGAUCAAGCUGGGAGGUUUAAAAGGAGCAAGGUGGCAGCACUUCGACGCCUGAGUGUUUUGCCUCUGUGCUUCAGCUUUGGACCCAGUUCAAGCUCCUUUGAAAGUACCAACCUGACUUUGCCUUCUUUGCCAAGAUUUCCAGUCAGGCUUUGCUGGCAGCCAUUGGACUCCAUACUCUCAGCUUCCCCGAGCGAAACCUGUCCACCAUCCAGCAAGCGGCACCUCUGGACUCUGUCUGUAAGGAAACACCAAAUCAAAGUUCUGAUCCGUGGGAAGGAUCAGUUAAUCAAAGUAACCAGGCCAACCAAGCUUACCACUGCAAAUCCUAAUUGUCCCCAUCCUCUACUUAACUGUACCCUUCAAUGCAGCCGAGAGGUUCCAGUCCCAGAUCCCGCCUUCAUCGGAUCUGUGAUCAAAUAAACACUUUAAACUUCAUAAUCUCUCUGAGUGUUUUCUGCAUGUGGGUCAGACUGGCUAAAAACAAAGUGACAGAACACUCAGGCCAAGCUGACACAGCAGAAACACUAAAAAUAACUUUAUCUGAACAUAGUCACCAAAUUCAGGCUCAAGGUUCAUCUCUCCGCGCUCUCCAUGAACAACAAAGGCAAACUAACCAACAGCUUGAACAGAUUUCCUCUCUCUUACAGCAUGUUCUCAGUACCAAGGAUUCCCUUUCGCCUGGUGGCGCUACUGAACCCCUGCUGUCUCAACAGCUACCUUCCGGACGUGACGUAACUUCCCCUAACCUGGAAACAUUUUCUGGCCAGAUCAGAGACUGUGGAGGAUUUCUGCUGCAGUUCGUCUGUUUCACCUAACAUCCCAGUUUCGGACCAUAAGCAGGAGGAACCUUCCGAUCUCACUCAAGUCUCCACCGCAUAUCAUGACCUUAAAAUGGUGUUCAGCAAAUCUAAGGCCCUAUCUCUGCCUCCUCACUGGCCCUAUGACUGCACAAUUGAUCUUCUCCCUGGAGCACCUUUACCUUCAAGUCGCCUGUACAAUAUUUCUAAUCCUGAACGAGCCACCAUGGAAAAAUAUAUUUCCCUGGCAGCUGGUAUCAUCCGUCCAUCAUCCUCUCCCCUUGGUGCUGGAUUUUUCUUUGUCGGGAAGAAGGAUGGAUCCUUGUAUUGACUACCGUGGACUUAAUCAAAUCACUGUUAAAAAUAAAUAUCCAUUACCAUUACUCUCUUCUGCCUUUGAACCGGUACAUGGUUCCACUGUGUUCACCGAAUUGGACUUACGCAAUACUUACCACCUCGUCCAAAUUCGCAAGGGUGACGAGUGGAAGACUGCAUUUAAGAUGCCUUUAGGGCACUUUGUGUUUCUAGUUAUGCCUUUUGGACUCAGCGAUGCGCCAGCAAUGUUUCAGGUGCUAGUAAAUGACAUUUUGACAGAUUUUUUUGAACAUUUUUGUGUUGUGUAUUUAGAUGACAAUUUACCUUCCAUAACACUGUUUAAGUUUAGUUAGAAUUGUUAUUGCCCAUUGAUGAUGUUUGAUUUAUGCUGGUGCAUUUUCUGUGAGCAGCUGUGACAGACUAAUGAUGUUUCUAUUUCAAGAGCUAAUGUUUCAAUCCAAUAAAUUAAGACAGAAAGUUUA